rnacentral:rRNA from 1 species
GGGACCGGGCGGGGUGCUUACCAUGCAAGUCGAGCGGUAAGGCCUUUCGGGGUACACGAGCGGCGAACGGGUGAGUAACACGUGGGUGAUCUGCCCUGCACUUCGGGAUAAGCCUGGGAAACUGGGUCUAAUACCGGAUAUGACCUCCUGCCGCAUGGUGGGUGGUGGAAAGAUUUAUCGGUGCAGGAUGGGCCCGCGGCCUAUCAGCUUGUUGGUGGGGUAAUGGCCUACCAAGGCGACGACGGGUAGCCGACCUGAGAGGGUGACCGGCCACACUGGGACUGAGACACGGCCCAGACUCCUACGGGAGGCAGCAGUGGGGAAUAUUGCACAAUGGGCGAAAGCCUGAUGCAGCGACGCCGCGUGAGGGAUGACGGCCUUCGGGUUGUAAACCUCUUUCAGCAGGGACGAAGCGCAAGUGACGGUACCUGCAGAAGAAGCACCGGCUAACUACGUGCCAGCAGCCGCGGUAAUACGUAGGGUGCAAGCGUUGUCCGGAAUUACUGGGCGUAAAGAGUUCGUAGGCGGUUUGUCGCGUCGUUUGUGAAAACCAGCAGCUCAACUGCUGGCUUGCAGGCGAUACGGGCAGACUUGAGUACUGCAGGGGAGACUGGAAUUCCUGGUGUAGCGGUGAAAUGCGCAGAUAUCAGGAGGAACACCGGUGGCGAAGGCGGGUCUCUGGGCAGUAACUGACGCUGAGGAACGAAAGCGUGGGUAGCGAACAGGAUUAGAUACCCUGGUAGUCCACGCCGUAAACGGUGGGCGCUAGGUGUGGGUUCCUUCCACGGAAUCCGUGCCGUAGCUAACGCAUUAAGCGCCCCGCCUGGGGAGUACGGCCGCAAGGCUAAAACUCAAAGGAAUUGACGGGGGCCCGCACAAGCGGCGGAGCAUGUGGAUUAAUUUCGAUGCAACGCGAAGAACCUUUACCUGGGUUUGACAUAUACCGGAAAGCUGCAGAGAUGUGGCCCCCCUUGUGUCGGUAUACAGUGUGCAUGGCCUGUCGUCAGCUUCGUGUCCGUGAAGAUGUU